rnacentral:rRNA from 1 species
GACGAACGCUGGCGGCGUGCUUAACACAUGCAAGUCGAACGAAGAGCGAUGGAAGCUUGCUUCUAUCAAUCUUAGUGGCGAACGGGUGAGUAACGCGUAAUCAACCUGCCCUUCAGAGGGGGACAACAGUUGGAAACGACUGCUAAUACCGCAUACGAUCUAAUCUCGGCAUCGAGGAUAGAUGAAAGGUGGCCUCUACAUGUAAGCUAUCACUGAAGGAGGGGAUUGCGUCUGAUUAGCUAGUUGGAGGGGUAACGGCCCACCAAGGCGAUGAUCAGUAGCCGGUCUGAGAGGAUGAACGGCCACAUUGGGACUGAGACACGGCCCAGACUCCUACGGGAGGCAGCAGUGGGGAAUCUUCCGCAAUGGACGAAAGUCUGACGGAGCAACGCCGCGUGAGUGAUGACGGCCUUCGGGUUGUAAAGCUCUGCUAAUCGGGACGAAAGGCCUUCUUGCGAAUAGUGAGAAGGAUUGACGGUGCCGGAAUAGAAAGCCACGGCUAACUACGUG